UGUCGAGAAGAAAAGAGGACAUUCCAGACUUUAAGGGCCCCCAGACUUGUCUUCUUCCUCUGCUUCCAGCCAGGUGCUCCAGGCAGAAACCCGGCGAGACGUGGAAUCCUUCCCUCUCGUGACCCUCUGCCUUUGCCUGGUCACCAAGCCCAGGAAGGCAGGAGGCCUGGUGUCACUCCGUCCCCAUGGCCGGUCUCUUCUGCUUCUUCCCGGACAACUCUGAGGGUCCCUGAAGCUUUCUGGGCCUGCCCUUUUGUUUCUUUUUUUAAAAAAAAAUUUAACCUUUAUUUUUGAGAGAGAGAGAGAGAGAGAGAGAGCCGGGGGAGGAACAGAGAGAGUGGGAGACACAGGAUCUGAAGCGGGCUCCAGGCUCUGAGCUGUCAGCACAGGGCUCGAACUCAUGACCCGUGAGAUCAUGACCAGAGCCGAAGUCGGUCACUUGACCCACUGAACCAUCCAGGCAGCCCCCCAGACCUGCCUUUUCUAAGCCGCUCUUCACCUGGCGGCCAGAAUGACGGUAAAUACGCUUAAUUCCCAUCAAGUCAGGCUCCUGCUUAACCCUCAGAGCCCUCGCGCCACUGGCCCCAUGUCCACAGAAGGCCCCGAAUCCCUUCCGAGGCCCGGAGGCGUGGCCUGAGUCAGCCCUGCCCCAUCUCGUGUGGCUCUGCCCCCACCUGCUGCUCUUGCCACCUCUGGCUCGUCAACGCCCGGUUUGUGCCCCUCCCCGCCCCUCCCCUUGUGGGGAUGCUUUUUCCUGCUCAUUGGCUACCUCACCCCGGUGAUGGUGCCUCGUCCGGGAGGCCUCCUUGCCCCCCAGAUAAGGCCGCCCCCCCCCCCCGACAUUUGCGCCCACGUGUCCCUGCCUUUCCUUCUCCACACUCGUCCCAGUGGUGAUUGCAGGUGCAGCUCUGGGUGCACUUGCCGGAGGCCAGGGUCCCGCUGUGCCUGCGUGAAGCCUUCAAACGCUGCGGGCACGGGAGAGUGGCCUUUGGGAAAACGUGAGGACACUGGUUUCUGCCGGUGCCUCUAGCCCGAGCGGACCUCGCCGCACGUCUCUGGUGGCUAGGAACCGGCCAGGGCGGCUUCCUGAGGCCCCCGGGGUGAGCCGGCUGCAGGUGCAUCUAGCCGUGGCCGGAGACGUUCUGGGAGUUCAGGAAUCUUGAGCCCUGGUGCCUGAUGAUCUUGGACAUAUCAAGCAACCUCUGCAAACCUCAUCUUCCUCCUGUGAAAAAAACGGGGACGGACUGGCUUCCUUAAGGAAUCGCUGUGUGUUUAGUACGUCAUAUCAGAUGUCUAAACAAGCUGACAAGUGAGCAAACACCAUCUUGCGGCGAGAUCUUGGGCGGGUCCCCUUCCUGCUGUGGGCUGUCACCUCCUCUGAGCGACGAGGACCGGGCAGGCGCCCAGGGGACCCGGCUGCACCUCGAGACUGCAAGGCCCUGGGAUCAUCGGCCUCCCAGGCAAGUGACAAACUGGCUGACCCGGCAAAGCGCUGCCGUGUGCUGCUCAGCCCUGCGACCAGCGGCCACCAGGGAAGGGGCCGCCGAUGUGCACCUCGGGUGCGCAUUCCAGUAAUCAUAGCAACAAACAUUCAGGAAGCACCUACCAUGGGGCAGUUUGCCAGUAAGUUCGCGGUGAUGUUUUCACCCUCGCCCCUCCCCGUGUGGCCCGUGUGAUUGUCAUUGCCGUUGUGGCCAGUUCCUUUUUGCAGAUGAAGGAGAUGAAGUCCAGAGAGGUUGAGUGACUUCUCUAAGGUCACACAGCCUGCAAGGGGCAGAGCCAGGGAUCCGGGUCUGUCUGACUUCAGAGUCCAGGUUUUUGCCCCACUGCGGUGCACCUCCGAGGCCCUCGUUCAGGUCUGGAGCACCCCCUGGGCUCUCCCUCAACCUUCUUUAUCGCUCUGGUUUCCCGCAGUUUUCUAGGGUGAAGUUAUCUAUGGAAAGUCGCACAACUACAGCUUGUUGCCAAUCUAGAGAAAGCCAAGAACAUUCCACGCACGUAGGACCAUCAGAGCCAGAGAGGCUUGGAAUCUGGUCCUGUGCCAGCACAGAGCAGGCCCACGGAGGCCGCCUGCGGCCGAGCGAGGCCUGCCUCCAGCCCUGCCUCAGCCCCAGCUCCCAGGAACUCACAGGGGCAUCUUUUUCCUGAAAUGCGGCUCCAGACAUCCGCCAACCCCGUGGCCUGGUGCUCGGGUGGGGAAGCGUGAGGCUCCGGGUGCAGGAAGGGAAAGGGCCGGGCUGGGCGCGCUCGGAGGCAGCCGUCGCUCCCGGGCUGGCGGGGGCACCCCGGGGCGGUGGGAGGGACGAGGGCUCUUGUGACUCUGGCCAUCGGCGCCGUUGCGGCCGCUGACCCUGGCAGGAUGAGAUCCACCGUGUGGGUUUACCGACCUCCUCCUCGAGGACUGGGCCGCGGCGAUCCCUUGGAGUGUCCCUGGGCCUGGCACGGAUUUGUCGCUCAUGGGUGCUUGGUGACGGAUGGCGUGGAGCUCGGGUCCCGCUGCCCUGCCUCUGGCUCUGUGGACGAGUAUUCUAGGGCUCACAAGCCUCGCGCAGGGCUGGAGCCCCCUGCGACCGGGGGAGCAGGGGACAACAGUCCGUUGGGUCUGUCACAGCUGGGACAAGGACAGCCUCAGAUGGAAGCUUCCGGAGCGGUCUGGUCAAGCCCCCGGCACACCGGUGGCGGCCCAGUAACUGUGGGAUGAAGGAAAGUGCUCGGCUGUCAGCCGCGUUUCCGUGUCAGGCGUCCAUCCGCCCCUCAGCGGGCACAUAAGGUCACGGUGGCCGGAAGAACACCAGCACACGCUCUCGCUGUUGUCUCCGUGCGGCCAGAGGGAGGCACAGUGCCGGACAUGGAGGGCGUCUCUGUAAACCCUGUCUGAACGUGGAGACAAAGGGGAUUUUAUAAACCACUUGCUUUUGCCAAACCAGCACAGCUGCCCAAUCCUGGAGUGUGCAUGUGUGUAUACGUGAGGGGUGUGUGUGUGUGUUGGACACGUGCGAGUGUGCACCUGUGUCUAUGUGCACACAUACGUGGGGGUGGGGCUAGGGGACAGAGAUCAGCCCUGUGGGCUCCAGGGAUGGAGGCUAAGGAGGGUCCAGAGGGCCUGGCUGAGUCAGAAGCCAGUGGUCAGAGCAGAUGGAAAGGUGUGGAGAGCAUAGGACUGCUUCUGAAGAGGGGGCAGGCGAGUGACAGCUGCAGAGGGCAGGGAUGCGGGGAGGGGGGGCCGGCCAGUGGAGCCGUGCCGUCGCCACCGCCCCGGAACAGCGUUUCCCAGACCUCCCCGCGGGCCAGCCGCGCUGCUGAGCUCGUACAGACACCGGCCCAUUCGGCCCUCGCCCCAGCCGCAAGGGGCAGGACUCUGACUCCCCUGGGCAGCAGAGGGCGUGACCCAAGACACAGGAAGUGACUCGUCCAAGGUCCCCAGCUGGCAAAAGGCGGAGCUGACGGCAGCCCCUGGGCUCGAGCCGCUGUGCUGUCUGAGGCUCCAAGGAGCGGCAUGGUGUGUGGACGUCCUGACUUCUGUUGAUGGUUAAUUUACGUCUCAGCCUGGCUGGGCUACGAUGUCCAGCCACGCUGUCAAACGUUAUUCUGGGUGUUUCUGUGACCACCGUCUUUGGCAUGAGAUGAACAUUUACCUCGGUAGACUUUGAGUAAAGCAAAUUACCCUCCAUUAAGUGGAUGGACCUCUUCCAAGCAGUAGACGGCCUGGAGAGAACAGAAGAGUGACCUCCCCUGAGCGAGAGGAAAUUCCACCAGCCGAUGGACUUGAAUGGAAACAUGGCCUCCUCCCUGGUCUCCGGCCUGCCAGCCCGCUCGCCCUACAGAGCCUGGACUUGCCCGUCUCCAUAACCGCAUGAGCCCAACCCUUCUAACGAAUCUCUUUAUUGUUCUGUUUCAACGGACAACCUUGGCCAAAUACGCUUCCUCAGGAGCAGACAUCGGUAGAACUGGGCAAUCGGAAAUUAACUCCCGUGGAAACUUCCGGGCACCCGGCGUGGCCCAGGCAGGGGUUCAAACCGGCGAGCUGUGAGGGGUGAGGUGGGUUCUAGAGCAGGAAGGAGCGGAGUAGGGCAACAGGGGUGGCGGAUAGGGGCCAGGUCGCCCGAUACAGUCCACCUCUGCGCGUUCUCGCUGCGUGGCCACGAGCAAGCCAUCUCAGACCGAAGCUCCCGCCACCAGCCCACCAGCUCUGCCUGGGGAGCAGAGCACCUCGUUUCCCACCACUGGGUUCUCUCCCUGCUCCCUGGGCUCCCACGACAUCAUGUGUCAUCCCCUUGGCGGUGGCCUCGGCGUAAUCAAACACCCCUGAGUCAGAUGUUGCAGAAUUAACAAUCCCCCACGUGGUAUAAACAGAGUUUAAAUCAAAUGCAGUGAAAGGAUAUUGCCUUUUAAAUCGACCCUGACAGCUGUGGAAAAUAUUAUGCCCAAAUAGAAUCCUUACAUACGACAGACAUUAAUUCUUCGAGAACCCCUAAACGGGUCCUCUGGAUCGUUUGUAAGAUUUUAUUUUAUUAUGGAUUGGAUGUAUUGAAGUAAGACUAUAAUCUUAUUGUGCUCUGACCUCUGUUUUUAUAGCUCUGUAUAAACAGCAGUUACCGUGUUAGAGGGAGAGAUGUUUACAGAUGGAGAAAUAAAAACACGCCGCUUUACUGUGCCGUGGAAACCUGAGACCAGCCCGAGGCAGGGCCUGGGUUUUGUACGUCAGAGGCCCUGUCCUGAUGGGAGCAGACAGCUCUGACGGGCAGGAACGCUGGGCCGGGCAUGUGUCCUCGGUUCGUUUCGGUGGAACAAGGGCCGCGGCUCCAGAGGGUCGGGUCCUUGCCGCCGGCCUCCCUCCGGAGGCUCCAACAUUCAGGCCGUUGGGAUCGCUGGGCUGGACGCAGGUGAGGAUCAAGUUCACACCCCCGGGGGGCUUGGUGUCUGUGUCUUCGUUGCUCCCUAGAACCGGAGGCUAUGCAGAGAGGGGACACGAGUUUUGGAGCAGGACAGACCUGGGGCCGGUCCCGACUCUGCGCUUAAAGAUUCCAUGACCUAGACUUAAACCCUCUGGAACACGGGACUGAGAGCGCCUGCCUCACAGGUCCUCGUGGGGGACAAAUGAGACAAUGGACAGAAGGCGCUGGGCACUCAAGAAAGUCCCUUUCCUCCGCCCCCACCCCUUUCCUUGAAAAAAUCCUGUGAUAUUUUGGGGGCACCCGGGCGGCCCAAACGGUUAAGCGUCUGACUCUUGGUUUCGGCUCAGGUCACGAUCUCACGGCGUGUGGGUUCGAGGCCCACAUCGGGCUCCGUGCUCACAGCGUGGAGCCUGCUUGGGAUUCUCUGUCCCCCUCCUCUGUCUGCCCCCCCCCCCCGCUCACUCUCUGUGUCUCUCUCUCUCAAAAAUAAAUAAACAGACUUAAAAUAAGUAAAAAAAAAAUUUUUUAAUCCUAUAUUUUUGUGACGGUGGAGCUGAGGGUUCCCGGUGAGUAGUCUCCUCACGGGGGCCAUAGGCCACCUUAUGGAGCCCAGUUAACCUCCCCAGAGGGGAGUCCCGGCCUUGGCUCCUUACUGACUGACGAUGUGUGGACUGCCAGCUAGGUACAAGUGCCAGGAGAAAACAGGGCAGAGGAGGCAUAUGGGUAGCCGGGAGUUUUAGGACAGGUGGACAAGGAAGUUCUAACUGAGACAUGAAACUGAGUCAAAACCCAAAGGAGUUUUCCACGGAAUCUAUAUGACAGCGCUGGGGACGAGGUCAGGGACGUGGCGAGGUCAGACGGGGUCAGGUGUCCAGUUGGCUGUGUAGCCAGGUCACAUCCGCCUGCUGGGGGCGGCACAGGGCUGGGCACCAGCAUCCUAAGGACUCUCGACGGGCAGGCUGCUGGAGACCUUUAGGGGGUGUAAUGGACUCAGUGUUCGUGUCUCCCCCGCAAAUCCAGAAGUUGAAGCCCUAACUCCCAACAUGAUGUGUUAGGAGAGGGGGCCUUCAUCUGAGGGGUCAGGGGUUUAGAUGAGGUCAUCGGGGGGGGAUCCCAGGAUGGGAUUAGUGCCCUCAUAAGAAGAGGGAGAGAGGGUAUGGCUCUCUCCACUCACAUGCAAAGAGGUCAUGUGAGCACACAGUGAGAAAGUGCCCACUUACAAGCCAGGAAGAGAUUUCACCGGGAACCACAUCUGCUGGCACCUUGAUCUUGGGCUUCCAGCCUCCAGCACUGUGAGAAAUUAACAUCUGUUGUUUGAGCCCCGGGUCUGCGACGUCCCGUCCUAGCAGCCGGAGCGGACUAAGACGGGGUUCCCCUAUCAAGUCAAGGCUCAGACAAGGACGCCAUUUAGUUAGUAAGGGCCCUGUCAAAGGCCGGCCCAGCAGGUGUUAAAAGCCAACCUCCUGCUGGGGAAUUGUUAGAAUGGAUGGUCGAGCAGCUUCCACGAUAAGUGAUACCCUGUGGUUUGCAUACACACGUGCACGUUGGAAUAAAUCAAAUAUUUCUCCAAGCCGUGUUUACAUAUUGAUGAGUAUAUUCAUUUCUAUUAGCAUAGCAGUUGACAAAUAUAUUACCACGCCCACGUAGGGUGGCUCGUGUCGCCUCUGAUAGGUCUGCCGCCAACUCGAGCAUUUACUCGUUUCUCCUGCCCUCGUGUCCCAAGCCCUGAGCUUCGAGGUUUCUACACGUUUGAUCUCCUUGCCCAGCCCUCGCCAGCUCCGGCUCACUGGGGUCUUGAAGCCUCCGGCAGCGUCCUCCGUUAUCAGCGGGGCUGUCUUCCAUCAGCCAUUGUGCAUCCGUCUGGUGUGACCCUGUCGAGUCCCCGGGCAGACAGCCGUGAACAGAGCCGACAUUGAAGGGAAGCCCGACCACACGCGUGUCAUGUCUGCUCCGGGGCCAGGGGACGGUUUGUGCUCAGAAAGAGGAAGAGCCAGGGGCCGGGGCCGCUGUGGACAGGGAAGGGGGCACCCCUUCUCAGAGCCCGAUGGGGGUCACCCCCCCCUCCCUUUCUGUCCUCCCAUGUGCAGGCACCUGGCCUCCGAGGGUGCGACCCUGGAGGAGAGAAGGGAAAUUAUGGUUCUUUUCAAAUGCCACAGGGGAAAGCCCAGCCGGGUUCUGGGUGGUUCCAAACAGCAAUAGAUCCCGCGGCUCAAUCCAAAGAGAACUUUUGAAUGAGGAGCGCAGUGCUGGAGGGAAGGACCACGCUCCAGAGCUCAGAGGCGGGAGACAGUCUGAUGGAGAAGGUGUGCCAGGACCCCCUCCGUCAGGUGAGGGUCCGGACUCCCUGCUCCUCCUUGAUUUGAGUGUUGGGAGUCUAGGGCAGUGGUUUUCCAUGGGGGGCGAUCUUACCCCCCCACCCCCGCCAGGGGGCAUUAGGCGAUGUCCGGAGGCAUUUGGGGUGGUUACACUGCGUGCGUGGGGUUGGUGGGGGGCUUUGCUGCUGGCUUGUAGUGGGGUAGAGGCCAGGGGUGCUGCUACCUGGCCUACAAGCUCACUCCGGCCCCCACAACAAAGAAUUCUCUGGCUCCAAGUGUGCAUAGAACAGUGGGUGAAAAACCCUGGUGUAGACAAAGGUAUCGUUCCGAUGAUGACCUCAUAAGUCAGGAAACUUUGACGAGAGGGAGACGUGGGCCCCAUCUCCCUAAAGGCCUCUUUUGGGGUGUAGAGGCCCUGGGUGGGAACCACAAGUGAUCAAAUCAUCAGCUCUCCCUACCCCUCCUUGAGGCCCAGGGAGGGGAAGGGUCUCACCCGGUGAGUCAAGGCAGAGCCACAACUAGAACCCCAGUGACUCCUCAUCUGGCGCUCGUUGUCCCAGCCCAGGCCCACUCAGUUACCUGGGUCACCCCGGAGACCCCGGGGCUCUGCCGGUCCUUUGCCUGUGUAGACAGUUCGUGCUCAGGGCUGGCCAGGGCUGAAGACGACACCGUGCCCGCAGCCUUGUUUGGGUGUAGACAGAGUUCCUGCCCCCUGUGUGGCCCCAAGACGGGAAUUUCUUUCCUUCUUUGGCUCUCUCCCGCCAGAAGCUGGACCGCACUCAAAGCAGGCCUGUCCUCCCGUCCCCGAGCCGCAGAGCCACGAGGGCCUCCUGGCACGUCCGUCUCCUGGUCCCAGGCCGGCAAGGCUUCCACCCUUAACAGAAACCAGCGGCUCCUCGGCCUGGGGCCUGGGGCCCGACUGACAGACAGAAUUGUCCUCUUUGGGACAGAAUGGUGCGGUUACAGAUUCCUUGCCCCCAGAUUGUUGCGCGUGGGUUCACAAGGCACCUGGUGUCCCGAGGAUGGAGGGACGGUGAUGGAUACGGAGAGUCUGCGCCCGGGGCGGCACAUGGAUUUCAUCUUUUUUUUUUUUUUUUUUUACUCUUUAUUUUGAAACAAUUAUAGACUCACAAGAAGUUGCAAGAACAGAACCAAGAGGUCCUGUGUGAGCUUUCUGCCUCGGCGACGACAUAUGUGACUCCAGCACAUUGUCAAGAUCAGGACAUCGUGUGGCACAAUGCAGCGAAUCGGACUUUAGGCUUUGCUUAGAUCUCACCAGCGUUCACACACGCUCAGGUUUCAUUCUUUGUGUGGCUCUGUGUAGAGUCCUACGACACUUUAUCCCGUGUGCAGGUUCGUGCGACUGCCACCGUG